UCAACAGCGAUGGAUUAACUCUAUCAGAAAACAAAUAUGCAUGGAACAAUGCGGCGAAUAUACUUUUCCUUGAGUCACAGGCCGGUGUGGGAUUUUCUUACUCAAAUACUACAUCAGAUUAUGACAAAAGUGGAGAUGCUAGAACUGCAGCUGAUUCCUAUACCUUUCUACUCAACUGGUUGGAAAGGUUUCCAGAGUACAAAACCAGAGACUUCUUCAUAACCGGAGAGAGCUAUGCCGGGCAUUAUGUGCCCCAACUUUCUAAAUUAAUCCUUCAAAAUAACAAAAUCACCAACCAAACUGUCAUUAACUUGUAAGGAAUUGCUAUUGGAAAUGCAUAUGUUGACUACGAAACAGAAUACACAGGGGUGUACAACUUUUUCUGGACUCAUGCUCUCAUAUCUGAUGAAAUUUACGAGGGAAUUGUCGCAAACUGCAAUUUUUCAUCGGAUGCAAACAUAUCGUUAACAUGCCAAGACUACCUUGCUCAAGCAGGCGCUGCUCAAGGCAACAUCUACCCCUACGACAUCUACUCUCCCUUGUGCCUACCAUCAUCUUCAAACGCUCUCCCGUGGCUAUAUCGGUAGCGUUUGGAAUGACAAGCCAUUAACAAUGUUACCGAUCAUUCAGAAGCAGAUGGCCAGUGGUAUUAGUGUUUGGAUUUAUAGCGGAGAUACUGAUGGUGUAGUGCCAGUGACAAUAACUAAAUAUGGUAUAGAUAAACUCCAAACAUCGGUGAAGACAAAAUGGUACCCUUGGUACCUUCAAGGAGAGUUGGAUGCGAGAACUUGACAGCAUUUUGUUUGAUAGCUCUGAUAUUGGCUGGUGGACAUGCAUCAACUGGUGCUAUACCCCAAAGUGCUCAGUCUGAUGGCGAUUCAUCGAACACAACAAUAUUUGUGGGAAGGCUUGACUCUGGUGUAACUGAUGAAGAUCUCAGGCAGUCCUUUUCAUUAUGGUGAGGUUGUCUCUGUUAAAAUUCCUGGGCGGCUGGA